rnacentral:rRNA from 1 species
ACGGAAGGCAGCAGUGAGGAAUAUUGGUCAAUGGGCGGAAGCCUGAACCAGCCAAGUCGCGUGAAGGAUGAAGGUAUUAUGUAUUGUAAACUUCUUUAGACGCAGAGAAAUAAGCGGGACGUGUCCCGCGAUGCUAGUAUGCGUAGAAUAAGGAUCGGCUAACCCCGUGCCAGCAGCCGCGGUAAUACGGAGGAUCCGAGCGUUAUCCGGAUUUAUUGGGUUUAAAGGGUGCGCAGGCGGCCCUGUAAGUCAGCGGUUAAAUCGUGAGGCUCAACCUCAUCGCGCCGUUGAUACUGCAGGGCUUGAUUGCGGUCGAGGUUGGCGGAAUUCGUCGUGUAGCGGUGAAAUGCAUAGAUAUGACGAAGAACACCGAUUGCGUAGGCAGCUGACCAGACCGUAAAUGACGCUCAUGCACGAAAGUGCGGGGAUCGAACAGGAUUAGAUACCCUGGUA